GCCGAAGUGGCGGAAUAGGUAUACGCGCUGGUCUCAAAAACCAGUGAGGGCAACCUCAUGUCGGUUCAAGCCCGACCUUCGGCACCA
rnacentral:tRNA from 1 species